GACGAACGCUGGCGGCGCGCUUAACACAUGCAAGUCGAGCGGAAAGGCCACUUCGGUGGCACUCGAGCGGCGAACGGGUGAGUAACACGUGAGUAAUCUGCCCUCUACUUCGGGAUAGCCCUGGGAAACUGGGAUUAAUACCGGAUAUGACUACCGAUUGCAUGAUCUGGUGGUGGAAAGUUUUUCGGUGGACGAUGUGCUCGCGGCCUAUCAGCUUGUUGGUGGGGUAAUGGCCUACCAAGGCUUCGACGGGUAGCCGGCCUGAGAGGGGGGCCGGCCACACUGGGACUGGGACACGGCCCAGACUCCUACGGGAGGCAGCAGUGGGGAAUAUUGGACAAUGGGCGGAAGCCUGAUCCAGCAACGCCGCGUGAGGGAUGACGGCCUUCGGGUUGUAAACCUCUUUCAGCGCCGACGAAGCGAAAGUGACGGUAGGCGCAGAAGAAGCACCGGCCAACUACGUGCCAGCAGCCGCCGUAACAC
rnacentral:rRNA from 1 species